UGUCAACUCUCCCGAAUUUAUCGGGAGUCUACUGAUUUUUAACCAUCCCUACCGACUGUCUACCGAAUUUUUUUUAAACUGCCGUUUCUACCGAUUUUGAAAAAAUCUGGAUUUUUUACCUACUUUGGUUCGUAAAAUACCGACUAGUCAACACAAAAAUGGAGGUCAUGCAGUGUUUAUCGGUAGCUAAUCUGUUUAUUGCCACUGAUAACAGGAGAGGGAAACAAUUUCAUGGAAGCUAAUAUAAAUGAAGAGUGAAGAUUUCCCCACAGAUUUUGAGAUUCAAUGUCUUAGUAAAUCCUGCAGGAACAUCAGCAUAUAACAGCCCCUGAAACUACAGAGCAACAAGACAGUGUCUUUAGAAGACUUCUUUAAAUUUACAAAGCUAAACAGGAUAUUUAAAUCCAGGACACAACUCAUGUUCCUUAGACUUAGUGAGAAAAAUCCAUUCAUGCAUCUAUUAAAAGCUGGAAACUUAGACUGUCUGCAGAAUCUUGUUAAUUUUUCUAAUUGCCAAAUUAAACUACAACAUUUGCCAUGAAUAUUAAAUAAAUGAUGCUCUUAUGGACAGGCAGAAUAGCUAGAUAGUGAACAUAAAUUUUUAUAAUUU